UACGAAGGGGGCUAGCGUUGCUCGGAAUCACUGGGCGUAAAGGGUGCGUAGGCGGGUCUUUAAGUCAGGGGUGAAAUCCUGGAGCUCAACUCCAGAACUGCCUUUGAUACUGAAGAUCUUGAGUUCGGGAGAGGUGAGUGGAACUGCGAGUGUAGAGGUGAAAUUCGUAGAUAUUCGCAAGAACACCAGUGGCGAAGGCGCCUUGCUGGCCGAUUUCUGACGCUGAGGCGCGAAAGCGUGGGGAGCAAACAGG
rnacentral:rRNA from 1 species